rnacentral:lncRNA from 1 species
AUAAAAAAAAACACUGUGCAGGUACUACUUUGUGCUGGAGUACGGCGAGUGCGUGUCGCGGCGUUGCUUGCGGCUAUACGACCCGCCCGAUGUCGCGGGCUACUUCGAGCGCUGCGUGUGGCCCGAACAUCUCAAGUACCGCGCGCAGAUCGAGCAAGACAAACGGGUGCAAAUCUUGGACGGCACGCGACCGGACAUCUACGACGUCGUCAUAGCAGACCUCAACACUCUGGGCCUCACCGAGAUACGAUAAGACUUCAAAUGUUAAGGGAGUAAGCAGUGUAGUGUUUGCAAAUCAUUAUGAGAUUGAAACAGGAUCGAGAUGUGUGAAAAUAAUUUUAAAAUCCUAAAUGUACAUUUGAAUAUUUUAAAAUACUAGCUUUUACCUGCCACCUCGACCGUUUGUCCGAAAUAUAUUCAUUUACCGGAAUUAAAA